rnacentral:rRNA from 1 species
GGGGAAUAUUGGACAAUGGACGAAAGUCUGAUCCAGCGACGCCGCGUGGAGGAAGAAGUCCUUCGGGAUGUAGACUCAUCAAGCUAACGAAUAAGGCGGAAGGGGAAACUUCCGGGAGAAGGUAAUUAGUUAAAAGCCCCCGCUAACUACGUGCCAGCAGCCGCGGUAAUACGUAGGGGGCGAGCGUUGCCCGGAAUUACUGGGCGUAAAGGGAACGUAGGUGGCUCUUAAAGUCAGGUGUGAAAAUAACGAAGCUUAAAAGGUUAAUGCGCUUGAAACUAAAGGGCUUGAGGGCAAUAGAGGGAGAUGGAAUUACCUGUGUAGGGGUGAAAUCCGCAGAUAUAGGUAAGAAGGCCGGUGGGGAAGCCGAUCUCCUGGGUUGACUCUGACACUGAGGUUCGAAAGCUAGGGGAGCAAACC